AGGGGAACUGGAGGUCCCUACUCAGGGAGGCCACCUGGGCUCCCAGGGCCAGCCCACAGCUCACAAGGACGUGCCGGGCAAACUGGGGCCCCUGGGCUGCCUCCAGCCUCACAGGAACACCCCAUCUUGCAAACACAUGCUGAAGCAGCACCUGGGCCACAGCCGUGUGUGUGUAGGGCUUCAGGGGGAAUGCCUCCACCCACCUGGUGUUUGGGUCAGCCACAAUAAGUACAUGCUUAUGGCCCUCUUCACUUAUGGUGACCGGGCCCACCACCUCGAUCUGCAGGUUCGACCAGGGGGCGGUCGACCUGAGGGGCCAUGGGGACUCAAUAACCUUCAACUCGCUGCCUAUGAGAUUUCGGGGGAUGCAGAACAAGCAGCUCCUGCAGUAAUCUUUCACAUGCUCCUGCAUCCCAGGCCACCACCCCAGCAAACGCAACUUCUUGUAGGUCUCUUCGGGCCUCUGGUGGGCCCCCAAGGGAAUGUCAUGCACAGAGAAAAUCAGAUCCCUCCGGAGUUGCGUCGGGACUACCCAGACCCUGGGCUUCUUAUCUCCCUUGAACAUAAGCAGGCCACUCUCCUUGUCGAGGCUGAGUGAGUUAAAGGCAGAACUAAACGGUGAGGAGCCAGACAGUUUCUGCCCAGCCUGCAGCCUGGCAAUGAUAUCGGCCAGGGUGCUGUCACUCAGCUGUAAUGCCAGCAAAUUGGGCCUCUUGCCCAUGGCAUGGGGACUCACUGUAGGGGCUGGCACAUCCUUUGGCAAACUCCACCACUGCCCACCCCCCUGGGCACCCUGCUUGGCCAGGGUGUCCACUGUCACAGCAAACAGAGAGCCCCGGUAGGAGGUUCGGUAGAUAAACGGAAGGGAUGAGAGGCCAGAGGUGAGGGAUAUAAUGUAGGAGAGCAGGCUUGGGUGAGGGAGUGGAGCCCCAUCAGAGGAGAGGAAGCCCCGAGCCCUCCAGAGGGGCAGGAGCUCCCACAGGAGGCUGAAGAUCCAGUUGCAGUGAGUGAGGAAAACCACUGGGAGUGGGGACUGGCCAAAGCGCUCCAGGCCGCAGGCCACGGUUGCCAGGUGGGCAUAGGUUGGCGUGUAAGGGGAGCAUGAGAAGGAAAGGGAGACAGGGGGGCUGGUGGGCGAUAGAACAUAGAGACCAAAGCCAGCACACCACUCAUCCUCACGGUAGAAGCAGUAGCCAGACAUGUGGAUGCAGACGAACGUGGACAGGUCAGAGAAAGGCGGCAGAACCUGGAAGAAGCGAGGCAUGGAGGCCGCGGGGGUGAGCAGGCGGUUCUCCCCCAGCAGGCCCUGGAGGAGGGCCAAUUCCAGGGCCCUCUUGCCUUUGUCCUGAACCAAGAGGGACCAUCGGAUCAACCAAGCUUUGGAAACCCUGCGGCCCUCCUGCACCUCAGGGUCCGCAGUGGUCCGGGAGGCAUAGGAAAGGUCCAGGACCACCG
rnacentral:lncRNA from 1 species